GAUCGCUAAAUCCCCACCGCUGAAUCAUUGAUCUUCUAUUUCUUCGAUCCAGUACAUCAUUUUAUUUCAAUCUUUAUCCAUCAAAAAUUUUCAGCAUUAUUUUGUAAAUUUUACCCACCGUAUUUAAUGCAGGUGGUCAAAAAUUUAAUAAUUAAUUUCAAAUAAGCAAGUUAAAUUGUUUUAUAUUAAAAAAUUAAAAUACUAGUCUUUUAGGUCUGUCAACAUCUAUCUGCAAGUACGGUUAAACCUUACUUAUCAUGUUGUCACUUUGGAAAAAAAA